rnacentral:rRNA from 1 species
GUGAGGAAUUUUCCGCAAUGGGCGAAAGCCUGACGGAGCAAUGCCGCGUGAAGGAUGAAGGCCUAUGGGUUGUAAACUUCUUUUCUCAGAAAAGAAUUAUGACGGUAUCUGAGGAAUAAGCAUCGGCUAACUCUGUGCCAGCAGCCGCGGUAAGACAGAGGAUGCAAGCGUUAUCCGGAAUGAUUGGGCGUAAAGCGUCUGUAGGUUGUUUAAAAAGUAUUCUGUCAAAGAUUAGGGCUUAACCCUAGAUAGGCAGAAUAAACUUUUAAGCUAGAGUUUGGUAGAGGCAGAGGGAAUUCCCGGUGGAGCGGUGAAAUGCGUAGAUAUCGGGAGGAACACCAAAGGCGAAGGCACUCUGCUGGGCCAAUACUAACACUGAGAGACGAAAGCGAGGGGAGCAAAUGGGAUUAGAUCCCCGGUAGUCC